rnacentral:rRNA from 1 species
AGAACGAACGCUGGCGGCGUGGAUAAGACAUGCAAGUCGAACGCUGAUUUCAGGGUAGCAAUAUUCUGAAGUUGGAGUGGCGCAAGGGUGCGUAACACGUGGGUAAUUUGCCGUGAAGCCCGGAAUAACUCGCUGAAAGGCGAGCUAAUACCGGAUGUGAUUUUUGGAGGGCAUCCUCUGGAACUCAAAGCUGGGGACCGUAAGGCCUGGCACUUCUCGAUAAGCCCGCGGCCUAUCAGCUAGUUGGUGAGGUAAUGGCUCACCAAGGCUAAGACGGGUAGCUGGUCUGAGAGGACGACCAGCCACACUGGAACUGAGACACGGUCCAGACACCUACGGGGUGCAGCAGUCGAGUAAUUUUCACAAUGGACGAAGCCUGAUGGAGCGACGCCGGCGGUGGGGGAUG